AUGAAAAUUGGAAAGGGAAUAGGGUUUUUAGAAAGAAAGUCUCUUCUUCUCGAACGGAACGGCGGCGGCGCCGGUCUCUCACCAUCUUCACCGCCGUUUGCUUCUUCUUCUUUCUCCGUCGCGGCUUCUCUUCUUCUCCGAUCCACCUAUACUCGAACACCACCGUCGAAGCUUUUACGUCUGUUCUGCUCCAAAUUUCGCUGCCAUGACUCUCAACCUCUCAUCGAAUUCGUCGAGUCACCGUGCCGCCACAAACACACGCCUUACAUCAUUAUCUCACUGAUUCUAACCGGGACCUCCGUCAUCCUUCAAUUUCGCUCAUACUCGCGAUAA
rnacentral:lncRNA from 1 species